CAGCAGCCGCGGGAAUACGGAGGGGGCUGGCGUUGUUCGGAAUUACUGGGCGUAAAGCGCACGUAGGCGGCUUGGUAAGUUAGAGGUGAAAGCCUGGAGCUCAACUCCAGAAUUGCCUUUAAGACUGCCGAGCUAGCAGGUGAGAGAGGUAAGUGGAAUUCCGAGUGUAGAGGUGAAAUUCGUAGAUAUUCGGAAGAACACCAGUGGCGAAGGCGGCUUACUGGCUCAUACUGGACGCUGAGGUGCGAAAGCGUGGGGAGCAAACAGGAUUAGAUACCCCGGUAGUCCCUGUCUCUUAUAU
rnacentral:rRNA from 1 species